GAUGGAUGCAUGUAACUAUACACUAGUGAAUAUACAUGCACAAAACUUGCAGCACAACACGUACAUCCGUCCAAUGACAAUGUAUAUUUGAUCGUUUUUUCAACCUUGUAUGGCAACAUGGGUAGAAUGAUCCCAUGUUGCGAUUAACACUGUUUAUGGCCAAACUAGACAGAAGUUUCACACAGGGAACAAAUUUUACAUUUGGAAAGAAAAACAUUUCUGAACCAAAUAGAGAAGCAAACUUUAAGAAAUGGCCAAAUAAGAAAUUCUCUUUCAUCAAUACCCCCAUCCUCCUGCAACAUUGACCUCAAAUAUCGAAAGGUGUCCUUCUGAGGUACCAUCUGCCCAUCAAGCCUAAUCUCCUUCUCUUCACAUCUAGUAGUAAUGAAACUGCACAUCAUGUGCCAACUAUGAAUAUGAUCUUCUAUUAAACUUUAGCUGGCUGUUAAUUAUGUUGUGCUAGCUGCUGGCUAACCAUGGCCUGCGGCGACUGGGUGUUUCUUUUGGGUGCAUGGACUUGUACAACUAGCUGGAUGGUCACGAUCGGCGAGGGAGAGCCUGCACCUUGAAGUUGGGCUUUUCCAGCUAUGUUAAUUUUGUGAUGGGGGUAAGUGAUGCUCCAGGACCAUGGUUGUGAUGUGCUUGGUUUUAGUGGUCCUGAUGUAUGACCCUAAUUUUUUCGUUUCUUGCUUUUUUAGUAUAUCGUGUCUGAUUUCAAUCCUUGGUUUUAUAGUUCUACUAAACAUAAACUCUUUUGAUUCUAAAUUUUGUCUCCAUAAUUCUAACUUUCUAUUUACACCCGUCUUACUCUCAUCAACUAGCAUCACAUCAUCCGCAAAGAGUAUACACCAUGGGAUAUCUCAUUGUAUACCCUUGUGACCUCAUCCAUCACUAAGGCAAAAAGAUAAGGGCUCAAAGUUGACCCCUUGUGUCUACAUCACUUGUUCAGACACUUGUCACAACAUUAUCGUACAUAUCCUUGAUGAGGGUAAUGUACUUGCUGGGACUUUGUGUUUCUCCAAGGCCCACCACAUGACAUUCGCGGUAUCUUAUCAUAGGCCUUCUUCAAGUCAAUGAACACCAUAUGCAAGUCCUUCUUUUGCUCCCUGUAUCUCUCCAUAAGUUGUCGUACCAAGAAAAUGGCUUUCAUGGUCGGCCUCCCAGGCAUGAAACCAAACUGAUUUUUGGUCACGCUUGUCAUUCUUCUUAAGCGAUGCUCAAUGACUCUCUCCCAUAGCUUCAUUGUAUGGCUCAUCAGCUUAAUUCCAUGGUAACUAGUACAACUCUGAACAUCCCUUGUUCUUGAAGAUUGGUACUAAUAUACUUCGUCUCUAUUCUUGUGGCAUCUUGUUUGCCCGAAAAAUGAGGUUGAAAAGUUUGGUUAGCCAUACUAUCGCUAUGUCCUCGAGGCCUUUUAACAACUCAAUGGAGGAUACAAUCAGGGCCCAUCACCUUGCCUCAUUUCAUCCUUUUUAAAUCCUCCUUGACCUCGGACUCCUAGAUUUGCCACACAUAAAACUGAAGUGUCAAAUAAUUUGCUUUAUUUUACUAUACUAGCAAAGUGUGUUGAAAUGGGAGAUUUUUUUUCAUAAUAUCAAAUGGCCAUGACCAUAUUUUGCGCUGCAUGACCGAGAUAUACUAUCACUCUCAUUUUUGUGAAAUCAUGAACAUUUUUCUUAAAAUCAUGAACAUUUUUAAACUCGUGAACAUAUCUAAAAUCGUGAAAGUUUUUCAUAUUCAUGAACAUUUUUAUAGAUUUUCAAAAAAAAUUAAAAUCACGAACUUUCUGAAUUCAUGAAAAUUUUAUACUGUUUGCUAACAUUUUUUAAAAAUUUUAAAAAAAUUCAGAACGUUUUUCUUGAAUAGACGAACAUUGCUAUGAUCGACGAACAAUUUUUUUCAAAAUUGGUGGAACAAAAUUUGAAAUUCACGAACAUUUUUGAUUUAAUGAAUAUUUUUUGAAAUGCAUUACUAUUUUGUAUGUCAUGAAUAUUUUUUGAAUUUUUUAUAUUUUUCAAUUCAUGAAUAUUUUUUGAAUUGGCAAAAUUUUGUUCUAUUUUAUUAACAUUUUUUAAUAUAACUUUGAAAAAGAAUCAUGAACAUUUUUAGAUUUCCCGAACAUUUGUUUACAAAUUUACGAUCGUUUUUAAAAAAUCGCGAGCAUUUUGUGAAUGCACAAACAUUUAUGAAUUAUUAAACAUUUUAUUUUGUAGUUCUCAUUUUUUUAUUUUUUGGAACUCUUUUGAAGUCCCAAAUUAUUUAAAGUAGAAAAAGUGAAGAAGGAAAUGAAAAUCGAAAUUUUAAAAAGAAAAAAAUGUACUUUCCGUUCCUCAGUUCUUAGUUCUUGGUGGAGUCUAGAUUUAGUCAUUCAACUCUAAAACUAGAUAGCUUGCAUCCAUAACUCUUAAAACCAGACAAGUUUAGUCCCUCAUCUUGGCUGACCCGCUAUAGCGGCUGACUCGUUGUGGUUUUGACUGGUUUUCAUCCACAUGGCGGUAUUUCUCUCCCCAACCUGGCCCUAUUUCUUCUUCCUUCUCCCUAUCUCUGUUUGGGCAUUUCAUCAAAGACAUAAUGCGCGCCUACCAUCAGAUGGUCCUGCUAGCUACCACACGCCGCCGUAGCCGCGCCAUGGGCUACCUACUGGCCACUCCAAGCCGCCGCGACCUUCUCACUACUGGCCACUCCAAGCCCUGUGUACCUCGCUAUGGCGCAGCUCCCGCCUGCCUGCCAACUUCUACGCACACCGAAGCUAGCCGCACCAGUACGAGCGACACGAGUGCGCCCACCGUACAGGUGCCCAAGCUGACGUCCGUGUCAUUCUGGAGUUUCCCUUUUGGAAACCAACGCCAUCUGGUCGCCGACGAGAUACUUAAGCUAGGUACGGAAUGAGCUCGACGACGCUCCAGCUGCUUCUGACGUGCAGCCACGCAUUACUUGCCGCUGGUGGUGCUUUCCCUCGAGCUCGCAACGCUCAAGGGCGAGGCCGAUGAGUCGAGGUGCAGAUGGCUAGGUUGGUGCACCGCACCUUGAUGCCUCGUUGAGCACAUUUAUGCGGUUUUUAAUCCCUUUCCGCAACGGCAUUUGAAACCGUCGCCAAGUGAGUAUGAGCGAUAAGAGAUUUUUCCCACACGACCCAGAAAUCAUCGGGAAUAGACCCUCCUAUCAUUUUUUGUUAGGGCCGUGUGCGAUCGGGCGAGGAAUCGAAACCCAAUUAUUUUCGUUCGUAUGUACAUCCGACACGGUGAAUCCCAGAAAAUCAUUUUCGUUCGUAUGCAUAUCACACACAGUCAAGUCAAAGAAUAUGUUUCCGUUUUUAUGUACAUCUCAAGCCAAAGAAUAUCCAAAUCGUCUAAGUUCCCGGCCGGUCAUCCAUCAUCUCACUACUCCAGCUUGAGCACACUUAACUUUCAAGUUCUAUUCCUCCUCGUUUUCACGUCUGCACUUGCUGUUUUCUUGACAAUAGUAAGCUCUCAAUCCUAUUAACUCUUAGGAGUUAAACUUGAGCACAAAGUCACAUGUUACACCGUUUGAGUUUGAAACUAUUAUUCUUAAAACCAAUAAUUAUUUAGUAACACUAAUAAAUAGUUUGAUCAGAUUUGACCAAAAUUCAAAAAACCUGAAAUAAUUAUUUAGUAACACUAAUGUUCUCGAAAAAUUAUUUAGUAAUACUAAUAUUCUUGAGUAAGUAGUUUGACCAAAAUUCAAAAAAACUGAAAUUUGAGUAUAAUUGUUUUUCCUUUUAGAAUUUGAGGAUUCUAAAAAUUUGCAAUACGUUUUUUUCGUGCUGAACAUUUUGAUAUAUUAUACGUUUUUUUCGACAUCGUAUGCAAAAGAUAUAGUCGUUUUACUUUUUCAUCACACUUUUUUGCAAAACAUGUUCAAAUUUAUAUUUUUUUAAAUUUUCCUAACUAAUAGAUGUAGUAACAUAACUAAAUUUAUAUUUGACCAAAAUUGUUUUAAAUUUAUGUUUUACAUUUAAAGAUUAUUAUAUACAUAAAAUAGAUCCUCAAGAGCACAAGUUCAAACCACAUAAUAAUAUGUUAUAUCACGCAGAGGCAAACCAAGCCGACUGGCUUUGUUGAGUUUAAAUACUCUCUUAAUAUGUUUUUAGUAUCGUAAUGAAAAUUAUGAUAACCAGAUUUAAAUACUUAAACCAAUGCACAGUUUCUAAUUUGAGAAAUGGUGAGACAUCUUAUUUGCACCAAUAGUCAUAUAAAACUAAAAUCAAAACAAUUUUUGUUCUUCCAUUAUUAUACUAUUAUUAUAUUUUUCAUGUCCCCUAAUUUUUUUAUGCAUAUAACUGCUUAAUAUACAUUAAAAAGCACUAAUAAUUUUUUUGUUAUUAUGAUAUGAUUUAGAAAUCUCUAUCAUGAUAUUCAAUAAUAUUAGAACACACACACAGAAAAUCUAUUUAUUCCGUUUUACAAGAGUAAGGCCCGCUUGGGUAAUUAAUAGCUACUUAGUCCCCACGAGUAACUCCUCCCAUAAAAUUGUUACGCUUGGUUGAUCAUAUCAAGCUCGCGUGGGGAGAUUUUUUGCUUGCUGCAAUUCUAUUCCUCGCACGCAGAAUCUAAAAAUGGUUGGUUUUUACUGGCUGUCAUUAGUAUCAUCCCUAUUCCUCACAUACAGAACCUAAAAAUAGUUGGUUUGUAACUCUCCUACAUGCAGAAGAUAUAUAAUUACACCAACGAGUAUUAUUUCAGAUAAAUUAUACAAUAAAAAAAUCUAAAUAUACACAUAUUAGUUAUAUUCCAAUUAUUAUCCUUCUUUCAUUUCAGUUUACAAGUCAUACGUGUAUACCUAGGUUGCCAAUUUUAUCAUCCUAAUAUAAGUUAUAUAACACAAAAAUUAUAGUGUUUGAAAAUAAAACAUCUGAAGUUUAUAUUGAUACAUUUUUUAUAAUAUAUGACUUGUAUUAGGUAUGUCAAAUUGACCACCCUGAAAUACACGCACACCCUGUACACUGAGAGAGGGAGUAACACUUUACAUCGCUUAAAACAAAAAAUGGUUUGUAAGUGCGUUUUCAAUCAAAAAUUAUUAUUUUGGUUCUACAUUGCAAAAGUUAAAUAUUGUAUGAAAAUUGUUUCACAUCACCCCACACCCAAAAAUAAUUCCUUAUUUUGUCAGAAUUUCAAUAUCUUCCGAACAAUUGUUUUAUAUUGCACCAGCUCAAAAAAAAAUAUUGUAUCAAUACAAUUUAAGUAUUAUUAGCUAAUAUUUUCAAACAAUUGUUUUAAAUCACCAGACACAAAAAUGGUUUGGUUUUCAACAGCCAAGAAGCCAUUUUUGAGUAUUAUUCCAAUUCCUAAAUCGUGAUACAUUAUACAAUUUAUAUUUUAGAAUAAUACACAUAAUAAUUAUACACCAAUGAAUAAUACUCAAAAAAGGUUUUUGAGAGCUUUUUCUAUUUUUUUCAAUUCCAUAUUGCAAAAGUUCUCUUUUUACAUCGCCCAAACCCACAAUGCUUUGCUUUGUACUAGCUAUAGAUAUCAUUUUCAUUAUUUUAUCACAUGUGAAGUUCAAUAUCUUCAAAAUAAUUAAAAAUGCUUUAUACCAAUACCACAAGAAUUAUUAGCUGAUAUCUUUCAAACAAUAGUUUUAGAUCGCCUCAGACCAAAAAUUGUCAUACAUAAUUUUUCAAACUGAUAUCUUUCAAACAAUUAUUUUAGAUAGCCUCAGACCCAAAAAUGCCAUAGAUAAUUUUUCAAGUAUUAUUUUGGUCUGUUAUCUUUCAAACAAUUGUUUUACAUCACCCCAAUUCAUAAAAUAGUUUGUACAGCCCUGCAUGUGAAGAGUGGCGAUGUGGCUCACGAGCUCGCGCGCUCCCGCUGUAUGGUCCAAUGGUACAUCGGCACGUUUGGUCUGCAUUUAUGGAGGAUGGAAAUACUGCCGCGUAUACGCGAAAAGAAGAGGGCACAUACGGGGAUGGGCCCGCACGACGUGUCGACGGAGAACGCCACUGGCCUGACGCCGGUCGUGAACUCCAAGUACUGGCUGAUGCUCAAAAAAAAAAAAAACUCCAAGUACUGGCUUUGACGAACGGCGCUUGGGGUAAAAAAAAAAGUAAUUCUCAGAGACGCUAUUUUCCCCUGGAUUCGCGGCCGGAGAGGGUUGUACUCAUUGCGACGGCGGAGGCGACGGGGGAUGGGUUCGAGUUCUUAUCCGAUCCGGUUGAUAGGUAUGCUUGUUGCCCUCGCCUGAAUUCCAUUCAUGGUGGAUCUUUCGUAGCAUGAAUCUCAGGGAGCGUGUUACCCCGUUGGACAGAUUCCCUGUGCUGGCGUUGAUGGCGGUGACUACGCGCCACCGGCGCAGCCCGCUCCAGAUCUGCUGGAUAUAGCAGGCGAGUCUAGCAUUGAUGAUGUGGGCGACCGGCCGCCGGCACUAAGUAGAACUGAACGGCGUUUGCUCGAGCAUGAGCUUGUCGGUGCCGGACUUAGAACAGUGAACAGGCAAGGACGACCGGCAAGGACGAUGGAUGGUAUUGCUUCUGCAAGUUCAAACCAUUUCGUUUCAGUUUCUUGAUUCUAGACGAUGGAUGGUAUGUAUUGCGUCUGCAAGUUCAAACCAUUUGGUUUCAGUUUCUUGAUUCUAGACGAUGGAUGGUAUUGCGUCUGCAAGUUCAAACCAAUUUGUUUCGGUUUCUUGAUUCUAGACUUGUCUUUUUGUUGCACAGUAGAGCAGGCCAGACACUAUGGGCCUGUUCGUUGUCCCUCCCAUUCCGUGACUCCGCUCCCGGAGCAGCCAAAGUAGCAGUUCAAAAUCAUGGAGCGGGGAACUCUGCGGAUCCUUGGAUUUGGCGGAGCUGAUGGUUUCCCAAACAGCUCCUAUAUGUGCUUUUCUUUCCUCUCGCGAUGUACUCUAGAUGAUUGUAACCUGAUUGGUGAUGAUGAAUACAGUCAGCAUUUCAUCUAUUCUCAAAAGAAUAAAAAUCCAGUUGGCACUGCCAACUCUUCAAACACUACCAUCGUGCGUGUUUUCGCUCAGAAUCUGUUUGUCAAUGGUUUGUGUUAAUUACUUCUGCACUGACCUAUUGAGCAUGAACAUAAUUGAAUAUCAUGACGAACUGGUAAAUGAAUAUUUUAAUGAGUAUGCAUACACUUAACUUGAAAACUUCUAUUGUUUGUCAGUACAUGGUGUUUUCUAGAGCUAUAGAACCUUAAAAUUACAGCACGAGAGGAGUUUACCCUUGGUACUAGUCAACCGAUUAUGCAUGAAACGGUUUACAUCGUGCAAGGCUCGUGUUGCACGGCCGCCUACAGAACGGCCACCAUGCAUGCAUUGGCAGAGUGUGCACAUUCAGGGGAUACGCAGAGAAGCAUGCUGAAACUGUGGAGAAAACAUCAUGUUGAAGGGAGACACCAAUAUGGUAACCAUCUUUCAUCUUCUUUGAUCUCGGGUCACCAGUUUGGCGAAUUCGUUGGAAGCAAGAUUUUUUUGCUGGAUGCUUUGCAUGGGAUCAUGCCGCUGAAAUCUAUCCUUGCAAAUAGACACACAUCGGUACUGAAGGUCACUGCCCAAUCUGUAACUUGGGCGUUGAGGAUGUUAAACACUUGCUUUUUGAGUGUACGCCUGCAGUGGAAUUAUGGAAAUUGCAUGUUCAUACCAUCAUCUUUGAUGUGAUGCACGUUGAUGGAUUGAGUUCGGUAAUCAUGGAAUGUUCCUGGAGCACCUAAUGUUACUCUUCCAGAACUGCUGGCCGUCAGUGCAUGGUACCUUUGGUGUAUUCAUCAGCAACGAAAUCAUAGUGAGACUGUCCCACCUCUAAACAACAGGCGCCUUCCAGAAAAUGUAUCGCCAUGCUGUCAAAACGAUGGAAGAAGCCAGACAUGGGAUUUGUCAAACUCAACGUCGAUGCUUCCUUAUUAUAAGGGAUACACAUGGAAAUCUUGUGCCAGCUUCAUGCGAACAUAUAACUUUGUCUCUGACUAUUGCUAUGAAAGUUUUGAAUUGGCAAAUUCUAUUAGAUGCAACAACGUUCGAGCUGAAUCAGACUUGCUGGAGGUUAUCAAUGCAUGCUAGGGUCAGGAAACUUGAUGGAACGUAUCAGCUGCUAUUUUUGCGAGCAUCAUCGACACUGCAAAUUCGAUUGGGAAUGUCCAAUUUAAUCAUUGUCCAAGGGACUCAAACUCUGGUACAUGAGCUAGCGAAGCACUCUAUUACGUUUAUGGCUACAUGUAAUUGGGUUGAUGAACCUCCUGAUUUUAUUUUGCCCUAUCUCGUGGACAAUGUAACUAUUCUUUAAGCAAUAAAGCGAGACAUGACGGCGUUUCCUAAAAAAAGCACCAAGUGUAAUUGUUGAUAUAAAACCUGUGGCAACAUUUUUUUUUUAGGGAAACUGCGGAAACAUUUGUGGUGUGCAGCAUUUGGUGGAUGAAUUCUGUUAUAGCCUUGGUUUCAAAAAAAUAAUUAUGUUGUAGCCUUGUAGCUAUCGGACACCGAUUAAGUGUUCGCUGGCGGGUUUUUCCGUUAUUACUGUAACUAUAAGGUCACAUUCAGAGUGUUGCAAGUAAUGUCUGAAACGGAAAUGGCAAUCUUUGUAUGAUAUGGUACAGUAGUAAUCAAACUUGCUUGCGCUGAGGGUACAGGGUGACUUUUUUUUUUGAGGAAAGGCCAUUAUGGCUAGCUUGAUUGAUUAAUGCAUAAAGAUACAUCGUCUACGAGCUUGCUCACCAGACAAUCUGGAGGCUCGUCGGUUCAACUAGAAGAAAGUUUAUUACAAUAACUAAAAUUAGUUAGCACAUGUGCCGCUUGAUUUGCUGAUCGAAAACAAUGCUUAAAGUUGACCUUCCCAAUCAAGGUAGAGAUGUCCACACAUUCCGCGAAUAUCGCUGCCGCCGCGUCCCACCAAGUACUCUGACCGGAGCAGCAGUUGAUCACCGUUAGAGAGUCGGAUUCCGCUUCAACUCGCUGGAACCCUAGGCUAUUUGCCAAGUUCAGUCCGUCUCUCAUCGCAUUGCCUCUGAUGUCAUUGCGUCCGCUGCAUAUGGGAUAAACUUACAUUGAGCUGCAAAGAAAAUACCUCGUUCAUCUCUAAUAAUUGCUGCCAUAGCUCCAACUCCUUGAUCCGCAAAAAAGGCCGCGUCCACAUUAAGUUUGAUGAACUUUGGGUGGUUCUUCCUUCGAUUUGGGAAAUCUUUUAUCAUGUCAAUAAACAGGCUCAACCACCCAACAAGUUUGGGGGACUGGCUAGAAAAACCAACGAGUUUGUUUGGCGGCCCAACCACCCAACGUAAAUGCUGCCGUGCGUAUACCGUCCAUGUUGCGUUCGGCAUUCCCUAAACGGCGCCCGUUACAGGCAUGGGUGCAAACGGGCGCACACACCCCGCGGCGCACUGGGCUGGCCCAUUACGUGUUUUUAUUUUGUGUCUUAAUCCGCAAAAAAGGGCGCUACCAGGAUUCGAACCCUAGUAUUCGUUCUUCUUCCUUUUUCCUUUCUUUGUUUACCUUUUUAAACUUUUUGUUUUCUUUUUUCUCUUCGUCUUGGCACGAUGAAUUGGUUCGUAAAUACAUGAACAUUUUCUUCAAAUUGAUCAACUUUUUUCAAAAUCCAUGAACUUUUUUUAAAAAAUUGAUUAACUUCUAGUCAAAUUCGAUGAACAAUUUUUGCAAUUUGGUGAACUUUUUUCAAUGUUGAUGAACUACUUCAGAUUUGACGACUUUUUUCCCCAAUUUUAAUGAAUUUAUUUUCAAAUUUGAUGAACUUUUUUCACCUUUUUGUAAACUUUUUUCCAAAUCCGAUGACUUUUUUAAAAAAUCGUGAUCUAUUUUUCAAAAUUGAUGAAUUUUUUGCAAAAACGGUGAACCUUUUUUGAAUUUUGAUGAACUUUUCCAAAAUCGAUGAACCUUUUUUGAAUUUUGAUGAUUUUUUUUUUCAAAAUCAAUGAACCUUUUUUGAACUUUGAUGAACUUUUUCAAAAUCGAUGAACUACUUUCAAAAUCGAUGAACCUUUUUUGAAUUUUGAUGAACUUUUUUCAAAUCUGUGAACUUUUUUUUGUCAUGAUUUGUGAACUAUUUUUAAAAAUUGAUAGACAUUUAUCUCAAAAUCGUGAACUCUUUUUCAAAAUCGAUUUUUUUUAAAACAAAUGAACUUUCCUGUGAUUCAUGGACUUUUCCCAAAAUGUUUUCAAAAAAAAAUAAAAAUCAAAGCGAAUUACGCAACUACAAAUGUGCUUAUAUAAGUUCGCCCUGUAUUUGCUCAUUAGCGCAAAGUAGGUGAGGUGGUAAACACACUGUUCUAUGUCCUUAUGGCGCGUGUUCGGUCCAUGAGGAGAACCAUUUUUGCGGUUGUUUUUUUUCGCUUUUUUCUGGCUACCCCUUCGGGCGCCAGUACCAGAAACCAGCGCUGAGAGCGCCGGUUAGGAGCUCCCGUUGCGUUCCGUUAGUCUGCAGGUCGGUACAUGACUUUGUGUCCGUCAAGUGCCAAACAAACGUCCAAUGUUGAUGCGGGUCCGCCCCUGUACUAUAUGGGCCGGAUAGUUCAUUCUGGACAACGUAUACACUCGAUAAUACCUUCAGUGGCCUCGAUCCCAAUGCGAACGGAUGCCUAGCGAUUCCGUGAGCAGGUGUGCUCGUUCGCUCCUAUGAAUAUCCGCCUGCAUGUGGACCUUUUGCUCACUAGAUAUUACUGUUGAAUAUCUGCAGAAGAAAAGGAAGAUUACCAUAGAAUUUUCUUGACAUAACAAAAGAAAAAAUACCCUGGCUGAUAUCUUAUCAAAGAAAUAAUAAUUUUGAAGGAAGAUGGUCAAUAUUUUGAUGCAAGUUUCUUUAAGAACUCUGCCUUGUAAUUUCAAAUAAAUCAAGCAUUAGAAUGCAGACGGUUGGCACAACCCAAUUCUAAUAAUUUCAGAAAGUAUGCAGCCCAGUAUUUCAAUUUUCUCAUUAAAAAUAAGCACUAGCUCACGACGCCUUCCAACAUUUUGAAGCAGCAACAGUAUGGAAUAGAGUUGAAAGCAAAUUCGACUAGUGCAACAGUCAAACCAAGGUCACAGACAGCACACGUCAUAUUAAGACCAUUUAAGUCACAAACUUGGCUCCUUAAAUUUGACCUCUACGUUGCUCACGUAAAGUUUCUCGUUCCACUCCUACCUUUUAUUCCUCCAGUAGAAUCUAACGGAAGAUAGAUGGGUAACGUAGAAAAGUUUAAACAACACAAGCGCAAAGUUUAAUGUGGAGAGAGCAAGGUCCCUACUUAUGGCAGCCGGAAUGCAAUCUAAACUCCCUUAAUUUUUGUAUACAAGGCCACUUCAUUUUUCAUGUCAAACUUUGACUUGUAAUUUUGGUCAACAAAAUAUGGGAUAUACGUCAUCAAAAUUAUAUCAAAAGUUCUUUGAAAAUGUGCAUUAAUGGCAUGCUUUUUGUGGCAUAUAACUCACAAUUCGUUGAUAAAAUUAAUGGUCAAAGUUUGACAUAAAAUAUGAAGUGGGCUUGUAUACAGAAAUGGAGGGAGUAUCAGUUUAGCACCAUCCGAAUGUUAUGUUAGUCAGCAUUAAAUUGGCAGACUUAUUUAGGGCCAAAUCAAAUUUUAUUUGUAGACAAACAGUUGGGUUUCCAACUUAUAGUUAACAGAAAAGUUUUCAACGAAAUGCUUCUACCCUAUAAAUUGUAUGCUAUACUACAUCGUAAUGACCAAAUAGGGUUGAUAAAAAAUGUACCUGCAUAGCUUCCUUGAGUUCUUUUGCUUCAUCAUUGCUACUGAAAUGGUCACGGACAGGCUUGAAACAGAAAAAAUGAAAAUCAGAGUUAAGUGUUAUUAUGAUAAAAACAAAUAUUUGAAUGUAUAAUUAAUAACUACUAUAAUGCUCCAAUAAUUCUAGAAUAUAAAGCACAUUUUGUCGAUCACAUAAGCAAGGUAAAAAGAACAACCUUCCCUCAACAAUUAGGACUAAUCACUUAAACUCACAGACAUGCAUAAAUGCAAUGUGUCAUCGUUCACAUUAAUGAGGGGAGUUGAUUCAUAUGGCCGUAUUGGAUGAAGAUCAGUAAAUAUUUCUUUCAUACUUCAUAAAAUAAAACCUGUCACCAAAAACUAUAUAGAUAUAAUACUAGAAUAAAAUGGCUCUAGUUUAAAUAACAUGGCUCUAGCUUGUCAUCUACCACAAAAUUCCACGUCAAUUUUGGACAGCCCUUACAUUAUGCUGAACAAGAACACAAGGGCCGUUAGAAGGUCCUUAGGCAUAGCUGAGAAAAAUCACUGGAACAGCUGGUAACUGCUCUCCAAUUGAUACUAACAGGGCAGAAGUAUCUAUUAGUGGGCAUGGUUGGUGGAUACCAUCAGCUUUUAGGGCAAUCCAAAAUUAGUACAUAGAGAACAUGUGAAAGUAGGGUCAAACUGCUUUUCAGAUGAGUUACCGGAACUUGCUGGUUUUUUAGAGGUUUGCUUGCUUGGAGAUGGGUCAGAGCUUAUAGGAUAAGAGAGUUGGUUAUAAAAAGCCUAACCAGAUAUGGUCAAAUUCUAAUGCAAGGAUAAGAGAGAAGAUGUUCUGAGAGAGAAGACAGAAAAGGUUUCUUUCUUUUGUUUUUGUGCCAACCAGAGACACCAUCAAAUAAAGCCUUUGAUUUCUUCCGCUUUAUGAAAUUUCAUGCAUUUUCCGCAUGCAAUACCUUCAGGCUCUAGUUCACAAGGAAUUGAGUCAAACAUUUAUAUCCAGCUGGUUAAAAAGCUCAACCAGAAAUGGCCAUAAUCAGAUUCUAACGUAAGUUGUAGGCCAAAAAGGUUUCUUCCUCUGGUUUUUGUGCUGACCAGGAACACCGUCAAAUAAAGCCUUUUGUUUCUUCCGUUUUAUAAAUUUUCACGCAUUUCGUCCUUGUACCAUUCUUCAGGCUCUCUAAGAACGAAACAAGUCAAACCUUUAUAUCUAGUCGAUGAUUAGGUGACAUGGGGAGGACAUGCACAAUACUAACUUGUACUAAUGUCUAGCACAAAUUAUACAAGGAAGGCGCCAAAUAAAGGUCCAAUUGUCAUCCAACGAACGAAACGAACCUAGAAAAGGGGCACAAAUGAACAAUACCACUAGGCUUCUAGGUUAAUACUAUUUGAUUUAAUAUUGAGACAUUGUGUCAAUCAUACGCAAAAUCUUUUGAUCGAUACAUCCAUUGAUAUCAACGGAACUUUCAAAAUCAAUCAGAGAAAUGACAAAACAUACAUAGAAUAAGAAUCACUGCAAGUUAGAAGACAGAUAAAGAAAGUUACCUGCAACAUCAUAUUUAUUGCCUUGACAAGCGCCUGCUUCACAUCAAUUGGAUGCAAAGCGCCACUUUCAUAAUCAGCAGCAAGCUCUUCCAUGCACAUGAACGUCCUGCAUAGAAGUUAUCAUCAACCAAAUCUACAUGAUAAUAUAUUGAAAGCCUUCCUAGAAAUACAUAAUAGCAAUGACUGAAUGAUAUAAGUGUACAUUCCACUGGUUUAUUACAUAAAUUCAACGGGAAACAAGAAGAAAUGUAACUUGGCAGCCCAACUUACUUUAUACCACUGUUCUCUACAGUCUGCAGCACCUCAAAUUUUCCAAACCAAGGUAAGAUAAUAUACUUUAUGUACUCCAAACACGGAUUACAUUUUGCAUUUUUAAGAGGGCAGAAAGCAUCCUCUAUUUUUGAACAGACUUCUUCCUGCAAUAAACAAAAGGCAACUGUUGACAUUGUACACAACAUUAAACACAAAAAAAAGAUGGUAUUGACAGCAAAUCAGCAAUCAAAACUACAUUUCUAACAAUAAAUAAAAGAAUUCCUAUCACAUCUAGGAUGAAGUUAUAGAAUCCAAAUAUCACCAGUUAACUAUGUUGGACCUUUAUCUUGCAAACGUAAUUCUGCAAGAACUCAUCUUCACUACUCCACUUAAAUGAGUCAUAAAUCAUCCUACAGAUACCAUUGGUACUAAAAAUCAUCUAGCGAUGUGCUAGGAUUUAAAACAUCCUACAGAUACAUUGGUUUAAAAAAUCAAAUAGCAUUGUGCUACAACUAAAAAGCAAUGUCUAGCAAUAUUAAUAGUACACGAAGAUUUGCAAGGACAUUUGACCCCCACAACUUCACAACUCAUAUGCAACUAGACCAAUAAACAAGGACCUUUGUGAAUAUCAGAGCUCAGAACUCACAGUCUUCCAUGAAGAUGGUCCAUCUUGUAUCGUUACAACCCCCAAAUCCAGGAUGCUCUAACAAAUUUGGUAGCACAUCUGUAUUUUAAGUUAAGGGUACAUGUAUGUGUACGCAAAUGUAUUGUAAAAAAUAUGGAAAAUAAGAGAGCAAGUAUAACACAAUUAUAAAGAUACUGUUAAAGAAAGCAAUUGGUAUAGUUUCCCUCUCGAUGUGCUUGCAGUACUGCCUAGCUAAUAUGUGCCCCCCAUGCUGAUCCAAGUUCAAAAGCCAAACGUCCGCCUGCAGUUAGAAAGGUUUUUAUACACCCGCAAAAAGAAAGAUUCUUAUGCAAGCAUUCCAGAUAAAACAUAGAAAUACUGUAUUUUAAGUUGAGAUACUUUGUCUAUAUUAAAACCCAAAGCAAACGACACCAACUUUAGCCUUCAUCCUGCAAGUAAACAAACGAACCUAUGCACGCAAGAAGGCAUAUUUAGAUGCAAGUUCAAACAUGCUCCCACUAGAUAACCUAAGCAACACAUGACCUUGCAAAGAUAUGCUUUGUGUCAAUAUAACCAUUACAAGUCGGAUCAUAUUGAGACACCAGUAUUCCAGGUUUGUUAGAGACAAUUGAGGCUCAGUGCAUAUUUGGCUUCUAGUAUUUUUGAUAAAAUUAGCAUAACCAUAGGCAGAGGCCAGUAGAGAAUAGAAGAAAAUGUUCUGGGAGCCCAGCAAGCAACAACUUUAUGAAGUACUCUAACCUAGCAGACAUACAAGGUCUUAAAAGAUAUGAUGUCAAUUUAACUAUUUAACGUCACAACAUAAAGACACCAGUAUUACAGAUUUGUUUAUGCAUUAUUUUUGGCAAAAUUAGCUUAACCAUAGGCAGAGGACUUGUGUACAAACAUCCAUAGAGCAAGGUCAGUUUUCUCAAUAUGAUUUUUUGGGUAAAUAUAUUUAGCGACUCAAAACACCUCUAAGCACACAUUUAUUUAUUCAUGAUAAGAAUCUCUGACUAAUGUCUACAAAUUUAUUUAAGAGACCAUAUGGCGCCUCAAAACAAAUCAUCCUUAGAAAUAAUUCAAUUAUCCUGAAGCAGUUGUAAGCCUUUCCCUGCAGUGUAUAUUCGGCUCAUGGGUUUAAUCAUCCUUUAGAAUCUUAGAAACAAUUCGAUUCUCCUGAACCAGUUGAAAGUAACAGCUAAUUCAUCCUCACCAAUCCAGGAUGAAGAAACACUCCAGCAUCAAGGACUUUUAAAUUGAAUCAAGAAAGCAGAACGGCCCAAAACAGAGCAGGCCAAAUUUAGCAGCCUCACAGGGAGCGAUAACUCAAGAGACCGGCUGGGGCGAGAGAAGCAGCAGGAUGACGGAGGAGGGGCCGGGCAGGAGCAGAAAUGUCUUCGCGCCUUGUACAGGGAAAAGGG
rnacentral:lncRNA from 1 species